AACGAACGUUGGCGGCGUGGAUUAGGCAUGCAAGUCGAGCGAAUCCCAGCAAUGGGGGAAGCGGCGAAAGGGGCAGUAAGGCAUGGGUAACCUACCCUGGGGACUGGGAUAGCCCUUCGAGAGAAGGGGUAAUACCGGGCGACGUGACGAGGGGGCAUCUUUUCGUCACCAAAUGAGUUUCGCCCUGGGAGGGGCCCAUGUGAUAUUAGCUAGUUGGUGAGGUAACGGCUCACCAAGGCGAAGAUGUCUAGCGGGUGUGAGAGCACGACCCGCGCCACUGGCACUGAGACACUGGCCAGACACCUACGGGUGGCUGCAGUCGAGGAUCUUCGGCAAUGGGCGCAAGCCUGACCGAGCGACGCCGCGUGGGCGAUGAAGGCCUUCGGGUUGUAAAGCCCUGUCGAGAGGGAGAAAGGGAAACUUGAUCUAUCUCUGGAGGAAGCACGGGCUAAGUUCGUGCCAGCCGCCGCGGUAACAC
rnacentral:rRNA from 1 species